CGUUAAUUUGACCUUUGGACCAAGACUAACACUCCAAUUGACUUUACUGCACCAGGAAGGUGAACACAAUUUAUGCUGCAAGAUGCACACCAAUUAGACAACAAGCAAAUUCUUUCAAUAACAGGUAAAAUGUUUACCUUUCAGGUAAGUAUUAAAGGCCUUUGCCACAUGAUCUUUGUGGCUAAAUCGUGUCCACUCAAUUUAUAAAGUUAAUUUGCAUCUAAACAUUUACAAUGCCUGACAAAAUGGCAUAACAAUAAUCAAUUUUUUUUGUUUUGCGUUACUGAGUGCAAAGGCCUUUAUUUACACACUGCUGUCAUGGCAUGUGUCACUGUCUCUCUCUCUCGCUGGUCUGUCUGUCUCUCUUGCUGGUCUGUCUGUCCUGUGUGUCUUUCUGUCUCUCUCUCUCUCUCACUGGUCAGUCUGUCUCUCUCUCUCUCUCGCUGGUCUGUCUGUCCUGUGUGUCUUUCGGUCUCUCUCUCUCUCACUGGUCAGUCUGUCUCUCUCUCUCUUGCUGUUCUGUCUGUCUUGUGCGUCUGGUCUCUGUCUGUCUGUCCUGUGUGUCUGGUAUCCUUCGGUCCUGUGUGUCGGAUUUAGUCACUUUUUUAGUCUCAACUUAAAUGGAUGAUUUUAAAGUUGAUUAGGAAAUUCUGGUCCCUUAUUUUGAAAUGGCUUUAAUUUAAAAAUGUAAUUUUGGUCUUGAAUCUCAGUUAUCAUAAUUGUAACUUGGACUGUUGACAAACAUGGAAGCUGAUGAAUCAUUUAGUAAAGGCAUCAAAGUUUACUGUAGCUUGUUUAAAGUUCUUUCAAAGUGCUGUAAAAAUGUAGUAAUUGAUUAUGAUGAGCUAGACCAGGUCUUCAUUUAUUCUCAACUGGUAAUUGCUUUGAUAAGAAAUGGUUCCUGAUUUGAUUAUGAAGCUAAACUUUUGAUUUAUAUGCAAGUGUAGUCACAUUAGAUUGUAGGUGUUAUUCAGCCCAUGGAUAAUGUUAUGAUAUACUUUAAAUCUGGCAUUUGUUGGCACACUUUUGAUAACCAUUUAAGUCUUAAACUUCACGCACUGCCAUCAGCCUUUGUAGUCGCUAACUGAAAUCACAUUCAGUAUUAAUGCUGACUUGUCUCACUCUGCCAAGUUUAUUUCCCUCUAAAGGAGUUGAACCUUUUCGUGUUCAUAGUCUUUUUGCGCGUCAUGUUGGGAGGCCUCCCAGCAGGGGAUUUUUAUCUUCCCCUGCUAAACUAUGUGUUACUCGCCUUAGGGAUGCAGGGCUAUCCUGCAUAGUUUCUUUCAUAAAUUAGAUUGUAGGUUGCAGGAUUAGAACGCGUUUCUUUUCUUUAGGAGGACACAAACCUGGCAGAGAGACAACUCGGAUUAUUUAAGUGAAAAUUGCACCAAAUGUUCAAACUUUUUAUAUUUCGAUACGAUGACUUGAAAUAAAACCUUUAUUCUGUGGGCUGAAUUCAGACAGAAAUCAGACAGAAUUUGGCUUCAUGUUAAAGACUGUUGUUUAAGUACUCUCUUGUAGCAGGAGUGAGCAGCUGCAGCUUUUAAAUUAAUUUUUUGUUAUUUGAUUUGUUUUGAUGUGUUUAUUGUGGAUUGACUUGGUGUCUGGAGCUUUGUGGUUAACAGUGAUCAUGUAAACGUGUAAACACAAGUGGUCUUUUGCCUCUUAUUUGUGAAGCUGGCAGCUGGUUGAAAUGAUAGGACUUUAUUGCUUUCCCAAAGUGGGAUUUUAGAUAGAGCAUAGGGUUAACACCUCACCAUACACUAGCUACUUCAGCGAACAAGUGUCUGUAUUCCGUUAUUACCCAUUACUUUCUUUCAAAUUUCACAAUUUAGGCAGUUUAUAGGGUCAUUAGGAAUAUGCUUAAUCCCAAUGUCUUGGUUGGUUGCAUGAGAAACUGCUAUCUCUUAGAUGUGUUGGUGAAGUUCCUCCUCUGAUUUUUGUAGACUUGCCCUAAAGUUUCUCUCUGCUUUAACUCUUGUUGAGCUAUGCAUUAAAUGAUUCCUCCAACUUUUUUCCUCAGAAUUUUUUUCUCCCUGCAGCCUUCCACCAUCCACUGCUGCUGUUGCAUCUGCUACAGGUAGCCGUAUCCUGAUUCACUGCGUCUUCAUGUGUUUGGUAAGAAGUGUCAUUAGACUACUAACAAUGUAAACACCUUUUAAAUGCUUGAUCUAAUUUACCCAAAUGGUUCAUCAGUUUAGGACAAGAAAUCAUUGACUUUGACAUUCUUGGGGUCAGUAACCUGACCUCUAAAUGUUUGGGAAACCAUGUAAAAGAUCGCAAGCUCUCUGCAUGACCCAACAGCAUCGAUGUUUGAGUUAUUUAAUUGCUCAAUUUCUAAAUCAGUCAAGAUUUUAUGAGCUGGGUCUUCUUCACACAACAGAGAACAAGGUUGAGUCGACUCGUAACAUGGUAAGGCAUUUUGUCCUUCCCCUUCUUCUCUGUGUGUGAGGAAAUCUGGCCACGGAUCCUGACUGAGUAGCAUACCAUGGCUGUGCAGUUUCCAAAAUCAGAUAAGGAUCCAUCUGAUUUUGUGACUCGGCUUGUCAUGAUAUGCAUGUAUCUUCCUCCGAAACAAAGGAUUGGAAUGGACAGGUUUGUAGUGUAAAUAACAUCACAUCACUUGUAGAUGGUGAAGCAUUUGUUUAAAUUGGGAUCAAGCAUUUUCAGGUGUCUGCUUUGUCAAUUCUCUGGUGCCACGUCUUGCUAAACACACGAGAAGCUCUGAAUUGUGGAACUGCUGCCUCCUGCAGAUGUUACAACAGCAAUGACUGUUGAAAGGCUGCAGGGAGCGAAAAUGAGAUCUGAGGACAGGAAAGUGGAAUUGAUUUCAUGCUUAGCUAAAUGAGGGUUUCAGCAGAGGACCUUUUUGUGGCGAGGCUACAGAAUCAGAAGGAACGUUUGUCUGGGCAACUGGGACAUUUACAGUUUUUCAUGCAGCCAACCAAGACAUUGGGUUAGCAUCAUCCCAAAUGGCUGGCAAAGAUUGCUUGUAACUGUCAGUGUAGGACAGGAAAGGCAGGUAUAGGUUAGGGAGGGCAUCCAUCGGUGAGCUCUGACUGGACGUGAGGACCUGUCAUACUUGACCAGAGAUGAAGGCUGCAACACUUCCUGGAUCAGAGGACUCCAUGUUAGACACCACGACCUGGAGAAGUCCCGUCCUGGAUGGCUGCGGUGAUGACCUAGCCCAAGAUGAACCAACCCUUCUACGACGAGGACUUCGCCCAAGAUGAACCGACCUUUUCCACGUCUUCUCCACGGGAUGUCUUCAGAUGUUGGACCUUGCCAAACUGUACACAUGCCUCAAUGGCUGCUACGUCACUCUGCCCAACAGGACAUGGUCAACAAGAUUUUUUUUAUUUUUUUUAAAUGGACUUUAACCCACAACCACACAUGACAAAACGCUGUACAUGUGAUGCAUCACCACACUAAAAUACAGACACUGCUACUUUCAGCCUGUUUCAGUCUGUAAAAGAUCGCAAGCUCUCUGCAUGGCCCAACAGCAUCAAUGUUUGAGUUAUUUAAUUGCUCAAUUUUUAAAUAAGUCAAGAUUUUAUGAGCUGGGUUUUCUUCACACAGCAGAGAACAAGGUAAAUUGAGUCGACUCGUAACAUGGUAAGGCAUUUUGUCCUUCCCCUUCUUCUCUGUGUGUGAGGAAAUCUGGCCACAGAUCCUGACUGAGUGGCAUACCAUGGCUGUGCAGUUUCCAAAAUCAGAUAAGGAUCCAUCUGAUUUUGUGACUCGGCCUGUCAUGAUAUGCAUGUAUCUUCCUCCGAAACAAAGGAUUGGAAUGGACAGGUUUGUAGUGUAAAUCACAUCACUUGUAGAUGGUGAUGGUGUACAGACACUGCUACUUUCAGCCUGUAAUGUAAGACAUUGAAAACUUGUAUUUAUUGCCUUCUUCAUAUCAAGUAAAA